rnacentral:ncRNA from 1 species
AAGCCAGGAUAAUGUAGUCUUAAUCGUUCUGAAAUACGAAAAAUGUUGUGGAAAUCGCGUGAAAUAAUCAGAGGAAUCGUUUGAAAUCAUCGUAGUAAUCGCGCGAAAAUCACGUGAAAUAAUCAGAGGAAUCGUUUGAAAUCAUCGUAGUAAUCGCGCGAAAAUCGCGUGAAAUACUAUGGUAGACGGUUUGAGUAAAUUAAUGGAGUAUUUUAAU